GCUGGAUUAACUUCUUGGUGCACUUGUUGCAAUGGAACCACGCCGAUCCAUCCCGAACUCGGCCGUGAAACACUGCAAGGGUGACAAUACUCCCUGGGUAACUGGGCGGAAAGAUAGCCUUGUGCCAAGAAG
rnacentral:rRNA from 1 species